rnacentral:rRNA from 1 species
GAUGAACGCUGGCGGCGUGCCUAAUACAUGCAAGUCGAGCGAACAGACGAGGAGCUUGCUCCUCUGACGUUAGCGGCGGACGGGUGAGUAACACGUGGAUAACCUACCUAUAAGACUGGGAUAACUUCGGGAAACCGGAGCUAAUACCGGAUAAUAUAUUGAACCGCAUGGUUCAAUAGUGAAAGACGGUUUUGCUGUCACGUAUAGAUGGAUCCGCGCCGCAUUAGCUAGUUGGUAAGGUAACGGCUUACCAAGGCAACGAUGCGUAGCCGACCUGAGAGGGUGAUCGGCCACACUGGAACUGAGACACGGUCCAGACUCCUACGGGAGGCAGCAGUAGGGAAUGUUCCGCAAUGGGCGAAAGCCUGACGGAGCAACGCCGCGUGAGUGAUGAAGGUCUUCGGAUCGUAAAACUCUGUUAUUAGGGAAGAACAAAUGUGUAAGUAACUAUGCACGUCUUGACGGUACCUAAUCAGAAAGCCACGGCUAACUACGUG